GAUGAAGAACGUAGCGAAAUGCGAUACGUAGUGUGAAUUGCAGAAUUCAGUGAAUCAUCGAAUCUUUGAACGCACAUUGCGCCCGCUAGUAUUCUGGCGGGCAUGCCUGUCCGAGCGUCAUUAUAACCCUCGAGACCCCGCUAGCCUUCCGGGCCGGCGCCGGGCUCUCGGUGUUGGGGAUCGGCCCCGUGCCGCCCCCGAAAUUUAGUGGCGGUCCUGCCGUGUGCUCCUCUGCGUAGUAAAUCUAUUCCUCGCAGUUGGACAACGGUGAGGCCAUGCCGUAAAACCCCCUACCACAUCAAGGUUGACCUCGGAUCAGGUAGGAAUACCCGCUGAACUUAAGCAUAUCAAUAAGCGGAGGA
rnacentral:misc_RNA from 1 species